AGGUUUUGCCUAUUCACCCCCUCUAGGCGACUUUGUGACAAGUGUCCAAACUUGGUAUCCAAAUCCACCAUCUACAUACGGAGUUCUUGGUUGAUGAUGAGUGAUUGUCUACGGCUAGUUGUUGGGGGCCUUCGUCUUCCGAAGGUCCUCAAAAACACGGACUAACCAUUGGUCAUCAGUAUAUUUGUCAAGCAUUGCAGGAGCUUCGGAAUCAGACCACCUUCAGUAGUAAAACAAUGGAAGAGUAACAAAGUUAGCUUCAUCAUAAUAACAAUGGAAGGUGGUGCAAGGAGAAGGUGUCAUCAGGAAUACUGAAGGCAGAAGACAAUGUUAUCCAUGUACCAUUUGUUAAUCUUAUGUGUAAUUCUUAAGGGCAUAAGUGUAAUUUCGUAUGAAGCUGUUCGAUUCCCUAUAAAUAGUUUAAUAGUGCCCACAUAAAGUACCUUUUGGCGGAUUGAGCAAUUGUUAUGUAAUUUUCUCUCUACAACACCUUCAUUGUAAUUAUCUCUGAAGAACCAAAGGUACAAUUGUAAAGUUAGUUUACAAAAGGGGGAAUAUGUUAUUGACAUAUCUCAAUUGAGCCAUCAUGUGUAAACUCUUUUA